rnacentral:pre_miRNA from 1 species
AGUGGGAUUGCUAGAUCAUAUGGUAAUUCUAUUAUUAAUUUUUUGAGGAACUUUCAUACUGUUUUCCAUAUUGACUAUACCAAUUUACAUUACCACCAACAGU